UACAGAGGUCUCAAGCGUUGUUCGGAUUCAUUGGGCGUAAAGGGUGCGUAGGCGGCGCGGUAAGUCGGGUGUGAAAUCUCGGAGCUUAACUCCGAAACUGCAUUCGAUACUGCCGUGCUUGAGGACUGGAGAGGAGACUGGAAUUUACGGUGUAGCGGUGAAAUGCGUAGAUAUCGUAAGGAAGACCAGUGGCGAAGGCGGGUCUCUGGACGGUUCCUGACGCUGAGGCACGAAGGUCGGGGGAGCAAACGGG
rnacentral:rRNA from 1 species